UCCACUGGGGAUGGAGGGCGGGGCAUGUCAGAGUUGAACUGACAAAAACCUCCUGUCGCUCAACAAGCAAAGUCCAAACCUCGCAUGAGUCAGAAGUCAUGAAGAGGCAGAGGGGGAAAGUGAAGCGUUUAGUGCGGAGCACAUCUCUCCCAUCACCCUCCCCCUUUUGGGGGGGGGGGUACUACCCCAUCCUGUAAUGAAUUUCUCUCCACGGUGUUUCCUGAGAAAUGUGACUUGUCCUUCUUCAAACAAGUUUUAAGGAGAAUCCUCAGCAGUAGGUAAUGGCUUGACUAUACCCCUGACAUUUCUCUCUCUCUCUCUCUCUCUCUCUCUACACACCUCUCUACUUCUUAUUCAAAAAUAGAUUUAAGCUUGUUAACCGAAAUAAGCACACCAAAUACUAUCGCAGAUAACAAUUAGUAAUAAAAGAACGUUUUAAGCUCGUUGUGAGUCAAAGAGGCGAGACAAAGUUUGAAAACCAUUAACUAUUAACAAAUCCUAAACCGGCACUGUACGGCGCGACGGCGAGUGGAGUUGUGUUCAAAUUAAUUGAGAACAACGCCUCCUCGCCGUUGUCACAUACACACGCACAUCGUUAACUCAGCCAGACAUGAUGGGUAUUCAGAGAACGCAGGUGCUAAUUACUGUUCUCGUGACUGGGCUUACAAAUCAAUUCACAUUACCGCUCCGACAGCGAUGGAGGCGCUACACAUAUAAAGGUCCUCCGUGCAUUCAAUAUUCAGUGAGUUUGCGACGAAAUAAAUCAACUAAAGACCACGGAGCCGGCGGACAACGCCUGUCUUACCGUUUUCAAUUAAAUUUCAGGCAGUCCAUGUUGUAAAUGAUUUCAAAGACAUCCAAACCUAAAUUUUCUAAGGAGAGUAAAGCAUCCCCGUAAAAAAAUUUGAGCUAUAAUCACAAGUAGCGUAGGUACUGCUGUAUUCUCCUCGGCCAUACGUUUGCAAUGCUCCGUUACUUUGUAACGCCAGAAAAUUUCAUUUAAUUUUUUUUAAAUGUGGCGCAGUGUGGAGAAAUCAAUAAUGUUUUUUUUAAUACACAUAUAAGUUCGGUAACUCAACACUGCAUGCCGUGACUGUGCGAUUUUGUCUAUGAUGCGACGACAAAUUUUGCACAUCACUGGCAUGCAGAAUCUUCGAGAAUCGACACAUUAAUAAUAUAAAAGGAGAAAUUCACUUUGUCCAAGUCUCUUUCGUGUCUCAUCUCUUGAGCUGCGAGGUGGCUAUAUUCUUUGAUUUACCAAAGUCAGUUUCAUUAAUUCUUGGUGUCGUGUGAUAAACCAGGGUCCUUGUAACUGGUACAAAAUAUGUACUACAGUUAGGGUGCGGAGCGUGACCUUCUGUUUGCCUUCGGGAUCCCACAGUACCUUUCUAUAUGGACGCUGCCAGAAGCGGGGAGCUCUAGCAAGUCGGUCCAAGAAAAGCUGCUUGACUGCGGUAGACAUAGAACACACCUGCAUUCCCAGCCUCGCUCGCAGACAGCAACCCCGGUUGCUGGGAAGCGAUCCUGGUGAAGCGUAUUGUUUCUUUUAACUAAUUUAUAUUAAUUUUCUUUCUGUGUAACUUUCUCGAGUGUUCGGUGUAUCUACCGACACACCUUCAACUUUGUAACUUAACCUCUCACUAGUACUUUGUAAAUUAUUGUAGCUCUUUUUAUCCUUUUAUAUUUGUGUGUAAUAAACACAAUAUUGUUACUUUUAAUUUGUUUUUUUUAUUGGUGUAAGUCUCCCAGAGCGGUAAGUGGUGGCGCCCUGAGAUCCUCCUCACAGAGUCUCCUGUUCACCGGUUAUCUACCGGUGGUGACGUGUCUAGAAGUGGUGCGUAUUCACUGUUGUGUGUAUUCACUCGUUGACACAGCAAGGCUAGAGUCGCUUGGUGCUUCGCAUCCUGCGAUUUCUCUUUUUAUUAUAUAUUUAUUCGGAGCCAUCAUACCUCAUUCUUGCUUUUGGUAUUCCUAUUGUUACUGCGCUGGCGUUCGGGAUAAAUAAAAAUUCUACCGAAUUACAUGUUAGCAAUGUAUUAGCACUUAGAACACUAAAAACACUUCACAAAUACUUUAAAAUUUUCAAUUCAUUUCUUCCGCUUCGCUUCAGGUGAUCCGUUCGCCAUUUCGCUUCGAGUAGUUCCGAUUACUGACUAACUGGGUGCCAUCCCUGCAACGCUUUUAUAGCCGAUACCACAUCAAUAGAAUUAUCGAGAAUAUUCCACAUAUUUCGAGUAUUAUGUUUCCGCUAUCUGACAAUAGAUGGAGUUGUACUUCUCGAGCGUCCUAGGUGCUUCUAGAUCCUUCGAUAUUCGUUCGAAUAUUCGGCGAUAGAUGGCGUUACUCUUACCGGCGUAACACUAUAAUUAUGAAAUCGGCUUCAUUCUUCCAGAGUACAUUUCGGAUCCACAAGAGAACUUUUUUUGUUCGUGUCUUCAAUUCGCAGACCAGCUCCAAAGGAUCCAGUGGAUCUGGAAUUAGCCUCCGUCCUGAGAAGAAACUCAGCGGGCAUGUCUUUUUUUUUUUUUAAAUAAGAAACUAUUAUUUAUUAAUUUUUUAAUAUUAGAUAAAAAAAAAUAACAAUGAGUAUUAUAACGUAACAAUUACUACAAUAUUGAAAUGCCCGGAGCGAGCAACUCGUUGAGAAAAGUUUAAUAAGAGCAAAUUCAAUGGACUUAAAUUGUUUUGCUUACGACAGUGGAAUGCGCGCGGCGUGUCCGUGUCCAGCGACGGUGACUGUUCACCUACUCAUCUACACAUAUUUUUUUUUAUUGCUUAGAUGGGUGGACGAGCUCACAGCCCACCUGAUGUUAAGUGAAUACUGUAGCCCAUGGACAUCCACAACGUAAAUGCGCCGCCCACCUUGAGAUAUAAGUUCUAAGCUCUCAAGUAUAGUUACAACGGCUGCCCCACCCUUCAAACCGAAACGCCUUACUGCUUCACGUCAGAAAUAGGAAGGGUGGUGGUACCUACCCGCGCGGACUCGCAAGAGGUCCUACCACCAGUAAACACACACAUAAAAACCACACAUGUAGGUAUUGCACUAAGUGCGUCGGCUCGGUACUCGCAAUGUUUCAGUCAUUCAAUAGGAAUGUACCAUCUGAGUUCCCCGCCGAAGUAGAAGAUAAUUUAGCGGCGGAGCGCGAUGGCGGCCGGAUAUAAAGCGGGUAUGACUUCCGAUGAACUCUGCUCGAUGGGGUUCGGAAACGCCGCGCCAGAUCAUUACGGCCCUCCCACAAUACUCGCCGCCAUUGUGAUUAUGUGGUUCAAUUUGUUCCACGAGACGCACAAAUGUCUACGUUGCGAAUUUCGCAUAUAACCUUACCCCUCACGCUGUAUCAACUAACAAGUACAAAACACCUUCCUAUAUUGAAAAACAAGUUUUAUUUUGUGUUCCUUGACCGGUGACUGGUGCUGAACUGAUUACCGGAGACCACAAGGCGAAGAACACUGGCGUGAGCAUAAGUGACGACGCAGUUUUCUCUAGAUAUCUUUCUAAUUUUCAUUAGAAAACAUGUGCAUCUUACAUACAUAUGUCACACUCCUUUUUUCGCAUAUAUGAUGCAUCACCAGCUCGACUCGACUCGACGACAAAGGUACACGUCGCGACGCGGGAUUGCGCUCACUGAGCACACAGCAGAGAUCCUCCAGCGACUCUGCCACAGCCCGCAAAUCGGAGGUGGGAGAUACUCGCCAUUAACAUUUAUGCCCAGUUUACACUAAACCAGUCUUGAAGACGUCCUCGAGAGCAGCAGGAGAGCAGCAUGUAGCGUCUCCUUGUUGCACGGCUUUGUGAAUCUCAAUCGGGUUUGUCUGCUGGUCUUGGAUCCGGAGUGUCACUGUAGCGGCCUUAUAUAAACUCAUCCACAGCGGACCGACAGCGGACCGACAACAGACCGACUGGACAUCGCUGUAAGGAUUCCAGAACAGCGCAGGUUUCGACGAGUUCGAAGGUUUUGUCGCACGCGGCCUGCGCCAGAAACGAACCUCCUCGUCUAGAGGCCAACCGACUAGUAAGGACACUCGAGAACACAGAAAGGUUUCCAACUAAAAAAGCCAAAUUAAUUAAUAGUUAUAUUUAAAAAAAUAAUUAAUGUUUAUAGUUAUAUUAACUAACUAUACGCUUUUGUAAAUAGCUAAAUAAAAAAUAAAUUAAAAUAAAAUAUUUUUAUUGUAAACCUGAGGGAUUGCUUUUUAUAAUGACUUUAACCAAUAUCUAUUAAUAAAAUAUUUACAAAUUAAACAUUUUUUUCUGAAUAUGUCAUAGUGCCGGCCCGGCCCGCCCGCCGCACACUGUCAGUAAAAUGAAAGAGAUCGGUAGCGAUAUAAACUUGUAUUCUGCAUUACACAUUUCCAUGUUAUCACAUUAUUACUUAACACUAGACAACACUAGACGACACUAGACAAACGUUUGAGGACUACGAUGACUUCACUUCAGCACUUCACAAGUUCACAGCUGUGCAGUGGGUCAGACUCGAUAAAUGUGUUGGCAUUACUUUUGUACAAUAUGUAAUUAAUAUUGAGGUAUGAAGGAGGACAGAUAAGUUGUGAAUCGUUAUCGCGCCGACUCGCAGUGAGCUGGGACUAUUCAUCGGCCUGAGACUGCCGCUUCUUUUUCUUCUUUUUUUCACUCUUGGGUUCUUCAAGUGAGACCUCGGGUUCUGGUUCUGGUUCAGUUUUUACUUCUGAUUUCCGUUUCUUCUUUUUCUUCUUUUCAGAGCUGGGUUCUGGGAGCGCGUCUUCUGCCGGUUCUUCGUUUUCAGUUUUUAUAUUUUUAAGUGACAC